UAAUAAGUGUUUUAUGGCACUUUUUAAAUCCAUAUCCACCUUGUGUGCAAUGUCAGUCGAUCCUCUUUCAUGGAGGAUCGACCAAACAUCAACCUUUAUCUUUUAACUCUUUGUCUGAAAAAUAUUAUGAAUAAACAAUUCAAAAUA
rnacentral:misc_RNA from 1 species